AGCUCCAAUAGCGUAUAUUAAAGUUGUUGCAGUUAAAAAGCUCGUAGUUGGAUUUCUGGUAGGAGUGACCGGUCCGCUCCGCAAGGAGUGUGCACUGCAGUCGUCUUCUGCCAUCCUUGGGAAACGCGAUUCUGGCAUUAGGUUGUCGGGGUUGAUUUUCCCAUCUUUUACUGUGAAAAAAUUAGAGUGUUCAAAGCAGGCUUAGGCCAUUGAAUACAUUAGCAUGGAAUAAUGAGAUAGGGCCUUGGUGGUUUUCUAUUUUGUUGGUUUGCACGCCAAGGUAAUGAUUAAUAGGGAUAGUUGGGGGUAUUCGUAUUCAAUUGUCAGAGGUGAAAUUCUUGGAUUUAUGGAAGACGAACUACUGCGAAAGCAUUUACCAAGGAUGUUUUCAUUAAUCAAG
rnacentral:rRNA from 1 species